rnacentral:sRNA from 1 species
UCAUAAUAGCAUACGAAAACAUACGUUCC